rnacentral:rRNA from 1 species
UUACCAGACUCCUACGGGAGGCAGCAGUGAGGAAUAUUGGUCAAUGGGCUUACGCCUGAACCAGCCAAGUCGCGUGAGGGAAGACUGCCCUAUGGGUUGUAAACCUCUUUUGUCAGGGAGCAACGCCGGCUACGUGUAGCCGGACUGAGAGUACCUGAAGAAAAAGCAUCGGCUAACUCCGUGCCAGCAGCCGCGGUAAUACGGAGGAUGCGAGCGUUAUCCGGAUUUAUUGGGUUUAAAGGGUGCGUAGGCGGAAUGCCAAGUCAGCGGUAAAAUCGCGGGGCUCAACCUCGCUCCGCCGUUGAAACUGGGGGCCUUGAGUGGGCGAGAAGAAGGCGGAAUGCGUGGUGUAGCGGUGAAAUGCAUAGAUAUCACGCGGAACCCCGAUUGCGAAGGCAGCCUUCCGGCGCCCUACUGACGCUGAGGCACGAAAGUGCGGGGAUCGAACAGGAUUAGAUACCCCCGUAC